GGGCAAAAUGGAAAUUUAUUAAAAUACGAAGAAAAUACAAGAUGGAGAAGGAAUUACAGAAAAUGGAUCCCAAAAAUGGAUUCAAAGAUAUCAAAUUAGGGGGGAGAGGCCCCCUUUUUAUAGAUACAUGGAGUAAAUCAUGGCCAUCGGAUUAAAAACAGUUUGGACGCUCAGGAUUGCGCCACGUCAUCAGUCAACAGUACACGGUUUGACCAAGCGGAUGAACAGUAACACGGUUUGACC
rnacentral:lncRNA from 1 species